CCAACACUAUGAUGACGUCACGGCCGCCAUCUUCCCCGCGGUCUGUUGAGGGUGGCGACACAGCGAUCUAUUUUUCUUGUUUUUUCAGGUUAUUAUAAAGUGCCCGGAAGCGCCAUGCUGUGGGAAGACAUAAGAAGAAGAGGAGGAAGAACAAGAGGAGGAGGAGGAGGAGGAUGAAGGGGACACACAGGAAUCAAAUGGCUGGGGAAGGAGACGGUGGCUGAGUGGUUAGCGUGCCGGUCCUGCGUUCACUGCGUCAUGGAUGAGGAGGGUUUGAAUCCACUGCUGCCACAGUCUACCUGUCCUGAAGACCACCACCAUCAUCCUGGACUGUAUGGGACUGUCCAAGGGAAAGCAAGAUGGGGCCGCUAUAAACACUUGCCGGCUUGGGCCCACCACCAGGCCCAGCCAAGGGAGGUUGGUGUAGCAGUGCUGGGAGGUGCCAUAACACAGGGCACUCCUCACCUCAACAACAGUCUCUUCACCGACAAGUAAUUCUUCACCAACAAGCUUUUCAGCAGCUUGGAGAAAUAGAGGAAGAAGAGGAGGAAGAAGAAGAAGAUGAAGAGGAAGAAGAGGAGGAGGAGGAUAAGGACUUGGUUGGUGUAGCAGUGCUGGGAGGUGCCAUAACACAGGGCACUCCUCACCUCAACAACAGUCUCUUCACCGACAAGUAAUUCUUCACCAACAAGCUUUUCAGCAGCUUGGAGAAAUAUACACUACCAAACGAAGAAGAGGAGGAGGAGGAGGAAGAAGAAGACGAGGAACACAGGAGGAGCCCAUUGAGACAAGAAGAAGAAGAAGAGGAAGAAGAGGAAGAGGAAGACUGACAGACAGACAUUCCAUUGAGACAAGAAGAAGAAGAAGAGGAAGAAGAGGAAGAGGAAGACUGACAGACAGACAUUCCAUUGAGUGUGCGGUGUCCCGCAGGCAGACCGAGAUGUCCGUUCAAUUCUGCCGAAGGAAAGAAGUCGUGUUAGUCAACUCUGAUGACUUGUACUUUUCUCUGCAAGGGACUGUUCUGUAAGCCAGUCACAGAAGAUGUGAACUGUAUCUGUACUAUGAAGUCUUA